GUGUACUAUGAGUAUGAAGUGAUAAAGGAGAUAUUUUUUUAUAGCAGUGGGACUCACCUGUACCAAAGUCAUUACAAAUGACUCAAUUCACAUAUCAGACUCUCAUUUUUCUCUCUUUUCAAUUACAUUUGCUCUCUCUUUCUCCUCUCUCAGUUCCCUUUUUCUUUUCUUUUACCAUCAUUUACAAGUUUGAUUUCUCUUCAACUUUUGGGAGUUUGUUAGUGUCAUUUGCGGCAAAUUGGAGAGUACAGCGAGAUCGACGCAUAGGUGUAAGCAAUUCCUUGUUUGGUGUACUUUUGGGAUUUCAAAUUUAGAACCCAUUUUAAGGGUUUUUGCAUCUUAAGAGUACAAGUUAGCAGUGAGGACAAAGACGUUUAAGGGAUAAAAAGCUUCGGUUUGUUAAAACUUCUUGAAACAAAGUCUUCGGGCAUAUGCCCAAGACGAGGAAGCUGGAAUGGGGUGUUGACGAUAAGUUCCGAGAGGAUCGACAGCGCAUGGAUGCCGAGGCGAGGGGUGUGCCAUAUAUACUGUAUUUUCCACCUUAUCCACCCUCGCCUACUAUUCUGUCUACCGACCAUGCUGAUGCAAUACUGACAGAGGAGGACAAUGCUGAGGAGUUUGAUGAUAAGGCUACGGACGAGGAGAUAGAUCUCUCCGAUAGCCAGCCCUCACUUAAGAGGAGGCCCAUUCCUAUAGCCCAGCCUGAGAGUUCUUCUUAGGCUGAUAUUAAAGUUUUACAGCCAGGGUGGCCGAGCUACAGGAUGGUCAGACGGUGCUGCGACAGAUGUUGACUGCGUAGCAGAGCAUAUUGGAGGAGUUACUGUACCGCACUCUGUCCACUCCAUCCACUUCUACAGAUACUCCUCCACCUUCUAUGGAUUAGCUUUCUAGGGCUUUUCUGUAUUUUUAUUGACUAGGGCAGUAUUUUUGAUGUAUUUAUUUUUAUAUGAUGUAUAUCUGCCUAAGUUUUUCUUUUAAAAAGCAUUGUACUGAUUUCUGAUAUAUAUACAUGCUUUUUGUUUUUAUUAUCCUUGUGUUGAUAUUUUAGUUCAUUGUGAUAUUUCUCUAUGAUUACUCUAUAUACUUGAUACUCUAAUGUGUGUUGGAGUUUAUUGAUUUUACCAGAUACUACAGAUUAAGUUUGGGGGUGAUUUGACUAAAAGCACCAUUGGGUGGUUUUUAGAGGAACCACUAUGUUGAAGGAGACGAUGCUAGAAAUUCAUUUUUACCCAUCUAUGCAUUAUUUUGACAUAUUUUUGUUGGUCUGCUUGUCUGGUAAUAUCUUUCUAGCUCUCUUUUGUUCUCACACAUUGAGGACAAUGUGCACACUAAGUUUGGGGGUAAGGUUGUGUUGGGAAAUUUUAAAUUUUUGCUUAUACAAGGAUAUGAUUAAUGGUUGAUGUUACAAGCAUGAAUUUGAGUCUGUUGAUGGUCAUGUAAUCUAUUUGCAGUCUGAUGUUGGUUAAAAAUGGUUUGAAUGCUAAAAUACUAUGAAAGGGAUUUCUUGAAAAAAAUUUAAAUCAGUUAGUGGUCUGUGGUCCACUUUGUUAAUUUGGUUAUUGUUUAAUAAUAUUGAUCUCUGAGAUGCUGCACUUUGCACAUAUUCACACUUGCAUAAAUUCUAUGGGGUAAAAACUAGAAGUCAUGUUUUAUUUUGAGUUAAACUGAGAUGAGCAGGUCGAUUCGAUAAUUUUGAUGACCAAGGCAUAAGAAAAAAAUAACUAAAUAAAAAUUAAAAAUUAAAAAUAAAAAUUAAAAAAAAAAUUUUAAAAAAAAUUGGUAUGUAUGCAAUACAAUAAAAAGAAAAAAUUCUUCACCAAUGUGAAUGAAAAAAAAAAUAAAAAAGAAGUAGAAAAUGAUCAAGUUCAAGUUUGUACUUAGAUUGCAUGAGUGAUUAAGUCCUUAGGGGUGCGUUCUGACACCUAAUGCCCUAAGAUCAUCUGGUCUGGGAGUCAUUGGCUGAAAGUUUGUUACAUAAGGGGUUUAGGUUGCCUAGAUUACUUGAACAAUUAAGUCCUUAGGGGUGUUUCAACAUUUAAUUUCGUAAAACCAUCUGGUCUGGGAAUCAUUGACUGAAAGUUUGUUACAUGGGUGAUUUAGAAAACUUAAUAGACCUGAACAUUACACAGUAUCCUUUUUGAAAAAAUGCAUACCCGUAGAAAAAAUAAUAAAGCCUUGGGAAUUGGAAUUUGAAAAGUUUACAUGUGAAUUGAGGAAUAGCAAGGAAUAAAUGCAAGUAUGGACAGUAAGUCACACGUUGAAUUGUAAGAUCACUUUAAAAAAGUGUUUUAGAGAUUAAGAUUGUUGAAUGAAUGAUUAAACUGAUAUGUAGACCAUGGUUGCUUAAUUGAAAUUAAAAAUUGAAAGUUUUUCUAAUUACAUGAUUGGUAUACUUGUUGUAUUUGACUGAUUAAUGAACUGUAGGGACAAUAUGAUUUAAAAGUAGGCUUGAAUAAGCUUACUGUGCAGUUAAGGCACUGAUUUGAGAAGUUUGUGGGUAUCUUCACUGGAAACCCUCACGAGACUAUAACUCGUCCACUAGGGGUAACUUAGGGGUUUAAAGGUUUGUUGCAUAGGCUAAAUGCAACCGUGAUUCCUACAAAAGCGGCUUUUUAGUUCUGUAUUGCUAAGGGACUAGCAAUAUGUAAGUUUUGGGGUGUGAUGAGCGUUGAAUAUAUGCAUAUUCGAGCCCUUAAAUAUACGUAUGUUAAGGCCUAAAGUGAUACUUCUAUCCAUAGUUAGACUAAUUUAUGUUUAGUGUGUGUUUACAGGUACUUUUCCAGAGAAAUGGUUAAAACUGGGACUUUAUGAUGAUAUCGAAGCUUACAGAGUCGUUGUCGGUCAUCCAGAGCAAGCCGAGAGCUUAAAUUGUGAAGUUUGAAGAAAUCCAAGCCCCAGAGCUCGAGCCCAAGUGUUGAGGCUCGAGCAUAGAAACAAAGAAAAGAAGAAAAGUCAAUAAGGCAUUGAAGCUCGAGCCUUGUACCUUUAGGCUCGAGCCUGAACCAAGGGUGCUCAAGAUUGACCAUAGGGUGCUCGAGCCUUGACCUUUAAGCUCGAGCACAAGGCGUCAGAAUUUAAAGAGUUGAUUUCCAAGCUCCCAGACCUCGUGCCUAACUCCAAGGAUCGAGCACCAUCAAUUGAAGCUCGAGCCUUGAGUCCCAAAUGCUCGAGCCUGGUACCUAGUGCUUGAGCCCAUGAAGCUUAGAUCGAGCAAUGUUAAAAGAUUUCAAUCUCAAAAAUAUUCUAAGUAUUGAAGAAAAAAGACGCUUCGGAAAAUAGUUGAAGAAAAUUGGCUAAGUGUCAAAGUGAAGAUCGAGCACCAAUUCUUGGAGCUCGAGCAUCAAUCCAGAGAAGCUCGAGCCUUGUUCCUUAAGCUCAAGCCUGAACCUUAAAGCUCGAGCCUUUAUUCCUAAAGCUCGAGCCUUCCAUGACCUGUCAGAAUUAAAGUACGGGAUUGCUCUCUUUAUCAGCCGUAUCGCAUCCCAGAUGGGCCAUAAGACCUAAAAGCCCACAAAAUGCUUAUUUUCUUCUAUAAAAGAAGGCGUAAACCUUGAUAGAAGAGGUCCAAAAUUUUAAGUCCUUUUUACGGUGUUAUUUAGAAGGCUGGUAGUGUGAUGGCUUUUAAGGUUCCUACAACCUUAGAAGGUGAAGAUCCUGAGAAGAGAAAUGUCGUCCGUGAUGAUAGAGACAACUCCAACACAGAUGAUACCCAACAUAGUCAUGAGUAGCUAAUUCCUCUCUUAGGGCACUGAUGUAACCCAAUCUAGUAUGAUGGUUUGAUUGUUCUUAACUCUGGGAUUAUUUUAAUAUAUUAUGUUUUCUUAAUUAUA